rnacentral:rRNA from 1 species
GAUGAACGCUGGCGGCGUGCCUAAUACAUGCAAGUCGAGCGAACAGACGAGGAGCUUGCUCCUCUGACGUUAGCGGCGGACGGGUGAGUAACACGUGGAUAACCUACCUAUAAGACUGGGAUAACUUCGGGAAACCGGAGCUAAUACCGGAUAAUAUUUUGAACCGCAUGGUUCAAAAGUGAAAGACGGUCUUGCUGUCACUUAUAGAUGGAUCCGCGCUGCAUUAGCUAGUUGGUAAGGUAACGGCUUACCAAGGCAACGAUGCAUAGCCGACCUGAGAGGGUGAUCGGCCACACUGGAACUGGGACACGGUCCAGACUCCUACGGGAGGCAGCAGUAGGGAAUCUUCCGCAAUGGGCGAAAGCCUGACGGAGCAACGCCGCGUGAGUGAUGAAGGUCUUCGGAUCGUAAAACUCUGUUAUUAGGGAAGAACAUAUGUGUAAGUAACUGUGCACAUCUUGACGGUACCUAAUCAGAAAGCCACGGCUAACUACGUG